GGACAUGAGAGCAAUCUGGCUGUGACAUCUGUCACCCCAUGACUACCAGGGUUGAUUCAGCUCAUCUGGCUGACUAGGCGGGUGGCCCCUUCCUCCCUCACCACUCCAUGUGUGUCCCUCCCGAAGCUGCAAGCUCCAUCGAAGAGGAUGACCAUCACCACUAGAGGAGGACCGUUCUUCGGUCAAGGGUAUACAAGUUGCUAUGCUCCCCUAUCAGAACCUCCUAACAAGCUCUCAAGAAGCAAAACUGGCUGGGCGUGGUGGCUUAUGCCAGUCGUCCCAGCACUUUGGGGGACUGAGGUG
rnacentral:snRNA from 1 species